CAGGAAGGACAUCUACUUGAAGUGCAGAAUGUGGAAUCAGGGAACACGUGUGCUGGGGGGGAUUCCAGUGCCACCCAACUGUGCAGGUAUGUUGGCGCCUUAACUUCUAAUUCUGUUUUUGCACUUAUAAAAACAGAUCUUCCAGAUUGGCUGCAGCUGAUAGUUGCUGAGCCCCCAGCAUGUAGGCACUAUUCUAGCAGACUGACAAUUCUUCCUUGGUUGGAGCUUAGAUUUUAUUAUUUGUGUGGGAGGGAGGUGGGGACAGAAAAUAAAUAAAUGAGCCAGAGGAAUAUCAGACAGUGCUAUGCAGACAGCAAAGCAGGCUGGUGGGUGGCCGAGGCCUGGGUCUCUGCGAGGUGGUUGAAGGUGCUGGCCUUCACGCACAGGGUGGGCUAAGUGAAAGGCCCUUGGUGGGGUGUGUGAGGUUUUGGAACGAGGUGUCAUGUGUAGCUCUUGUGUGUGUCAGAUUCUAUGUCUUUGAAAUGGGAGGAAGCUGUUCUAAUUCAUGGAUGAGAGUGGACCCUGGUCAGGUGCAUGGACAGAGGGGGCAGGCUGAGCCAAGUUUUGCCCACACAGUAGACUUUGAGCAGAUGUCUCAGGUGUGACUCGUCUGCCUUUAGGAAGACCUUGAAGCCCUUAUAGCCCAUUUGCAGACACUAGAUGCCAGGAAGAUGCAGAUCAAGGAAACACCAUGCUCCCUGUCCUCCCCAAGGAUUUCGAGUGAGCUGAAGUGAGCAGGCCUUGGUGUUCGUCUGACUUACUCUGCUGCUUCAGUUCUUGUCAUCUCUGUUUCAGGUCAGUUGUUUUCCAGUUUGACCUGGGCUCUGUCACUCUUACACUUACUGUAGCAGAGUAGAAACUCAGCUCUGAACUAGGAAAGGCCAGUGACCCUAGAAGCACCUCAUCCUUCAGGGAAUGGGAGCAAGGGAGCCACCUAAGCUCUCGGGACUGUUGGGUGGGUUGGGCAGUUAUUCGCUUUGAUCCCGUCAGAAGGAGGUAAUCUCUGGAGCUGUCCCCAGUGGGAGAGGAGACCUGGGGUCUGACACUUCAGCCAGGGAGGCAGUAUUGUAGCACUGUCACUUCAGAAACAUGCACGUGGUGGCCCUGGUGCCCGAACCCCACCCCCUACGGACCUGGGGUUGCUGUCCAGGUUGCUGCAAGGUGGAAACCACGUGGUUGGCCCUGAGUGGACGCACAGCACCAGUAGCUCCCAAGGUUGGAAGCCCUCCCUGUUCUUCGCUGAAUAAGUUACUCUAGGAAUCUGGUUUAUUAUUCCUUCAUUUGGCAUGUAAGUAUUGGGGCCACAUGCAAGGCACAUGGUACAGAUAUGCAUUUUCAUUUCAAUUGUUGAGGCAAAUAAAUCCUGGAGAUGUUUAAGACUUUUUAAUCAUGGCAUCCUGAGGGAAGCCACUGGCUGGAAAGGUGUUUUGCUGUUGUUGUUGUUCUUAUUGUUUUUUUUACUUUUUAGAACUUUUCCUGAAGUAAAGCCAAGUCAGGAUAUGACUUGAAAUGUUGGUAAAUGCCUGGGUCUGCUGGCUUCCUGCCAGAAGCAGUAGCUGUUGGAGCUGAAGGCCUUUUGCCUGGCCAGGUGCUCCGAGAGCAUGAGCCUGCCCCUAGAGUGCUGCCUCAGCGCCCAUCUCAGGAACUGGCCCCUCUCACAGCAGCUUGGGAAGGCCUGGCCUGGAAGAGGAGCCACGCAGACCUUUAAAGUCUUCAAUUCCAGCUGAGUUGCUUUUGUCUCAGGCAGGUUAAAUGCCUUGCUCUCUGCCCAUCCUGAGAAAAACAAAUUAAUCCUUUAUGGAGGUGAAUAUUUCAAUGGCCAAAAAGUAAAGUAUGUAUUUUUUUCUUUUCUCCCCAGAUUCUCCCCAUGGGUCCCAUUUGGAGUAAAAUUAAAACAGUGAUACCAAACAUGCAUUGGUCCUUUACUGUCCUCCUGUCCUGCCUUCUGAGCUGUUAGGACUGGCAGGCAAUGUCCUUGGUGGCUUCAGUGACCUUUAGGGCCCCUCCUCUCCCCACCUGCCCGAGGCUGACCAAUACACCUGUCAUGUGUAUGGAUCUGUCCUGCUGGUCUUCCUUGUGGUGGUUGCUGAACUGUUUAGAACAGGGGAUGUGCAGAUACCCUCAGAGCUCAUUUUCAUUUUGAGAGUUAUAUGUGAAGCAGCUACAGAGGCGUGAGUUCAUGUCCCCUCCAUGCGCUGGGGAUGCUGCAAGUCUGACCCAACCGGUCCACUACCAUGGCAGGCUCUCACACCAGGCCUGAAUUGGAAGAUGGGGGUCUCACCAAGCAGUGUCCCCAGUGCCCUGGAUGCUCACAGGCUCAGGGCAGGUGGCCUUCUUUGUACCACCAUCUCAGGCAGGACUGAGGGGGUAGCUGCACACCACCCUGCAUUGGUGUGACUUUGUUGCUCUAGGACAUAGGUUUCCUAUGGAAGGCUGCUGAUUAAGGUCCUUUUUUUCCACCUACUGGUGCUUGCAUGGAAGCAUCAUUCAUCACACUAAAGUUUCUCUUCCUUUCUGCAGAUUUUUUUGUAUAAUAAACUGUAUAUCUACAACAUCAGGAAGGACACCUGGACAAAAGUCGAGAUCCCCAAUCCACUUCCAAGGUGCUGUGCACACCAGACAGGGAGACGAGCACCUUCCCCUCCCUGGGCCCUGAGGUCAUGGGGACCAUCCAGGCAGCAUACCUAGUGUGGUGCCUGGAGUGUUGCAGCCACACAGGAGGCUCCCUGUCCAUCUGAGUGAGAGGCUCCUGGAGGCCGGAGGUCUGGUGCCUUGAGAGGAAAGCCUCAGACCUGAAUUUGGGUCUGAGAGGAGGGCCUGCCUGCCAGGACUGCACCGAUGCAUCGAGCACAGAAGGCUCACAAGCAUUUGGACUAACAGGAGUCCUGGGUCAUUCAGGCAGGACAUGCUGAGCAUCUUUCACAGGUGAGGCACCAAGGUGAAGUCUAGUCUGGGAUAUGGCAGUAGAAUGCUCUGAUCACCAUUCCUCAUGCUGCUCUGUAUUUUAUGUUUUCUUUGGUCCUGAGACUGUCACACAUUCUUAGGACUUGGCUUUCAUGAAGCUGAAGCAUGAGGUUGGUGUCAAAAUCCAUUCACAGAGUCUGUGUGUUUAUUUUGGACUCUGUUGGGCUUUUUUUUUUUGCAUUUGGUGAGAGAGUUGUGAACUUCAGGUUUUCCAGGCAGAAUUUUAUUACAGUUGAGACUUCAACAAACAAACCCAAAUCCCCAGAAGCGUAGAGCCUCCUGGGCCAAGUGGGAGAGCAGAUGUCAGUGAGGCGGCCAGGGAGGAGCACGGAGCUCUCAUCAGGUAUUCCCUGUUCUACCUUGCUCUUGUCAGAUCCAGACAGAGGACACUGACUGUCAGUGAGCUUGAACAGUGACUGCAAAACCAUUGUGUGUGUGUGUGUGUGUGUGCAUGCGUAUAAAUAUUUAAGGUGUUUUCUUUUUAUCACUUUAGUUCCAAAAUUCAUAUGCCCAUAAGGUUGCCUGGGGGUGUAAACUCUCUCAGUAAGCUUGACAAUGCACAGUGAGUGAGCAGGGUGUAGGGAAAAAAGACUGCUUCCAUCCCUUUCCAGCCAGUGACUUCAUUUCUCUCUAGAGUCCUGCCAGGUGUCCUCUGAAGAGCCAUGUAAUAGUCCAGCUCAAGGCUUGAUUAUCUCCCCUGUAAGAAGAAGAAUCCUCAUCUUAGAAGGAGAAGGAUUAUUAGAAGUAAUUUUGUUGAAGUGCUUUGACUUCCACAGUGUGGCACGGAGAAGACAAGUAGUGACUCUGUGGCAUCUUACUACACUGAUGGACAGUGACUUCAAUGGGGUAUGGGGGGGACUUGAUAAUAUGGGUAA